rnacentral:lncRNA from 1 species
GGAAACAAAGCUUAGCAGGAGAGGAGAGCCAGAGAAGUGACAGGGAAGCUACAGGUUACAACAGAUUUGUGAACUCAGCCAAGCACAGUGGUGGCAGGGCCUAGCUGCUACAAAGAAGACAUGUUUUAGACAAAUACUCAUGUGUAUGGGCAAAAAACUCGAGGACUGUAUUUGUGACUAAUUGUAUAACAGGUUAUUUUAGUUUCUGUUCUGUGGAAAGUGUAAAGCAUUCCAACAAAGGGUUUUAAUGUAGAUUUUUUUUUUUGCACCCAUGCUGUUGAUUGCUAAAUGUAAUAGUCUGAUCGUGACGCUGAAUAAAUGUCUUUUUUUUUAAUGUGCUGUGUAAAGUUAGUCUACUCUGAAGCCAUCUUGGUAAAUUUCCCCAACAGUGUGAAGUUAGAAUUCCUUCAGGGUGAUGCCAGGUUCUAUUUGGAAUUUAUAUACAACCUGCUUGGGUGGAGAAGCUAUUGUCUUCGGAAACCUUGGUGUAGUUGAACUGAUAGUUACUGUUGUGACCUGAAGUUCACCAUUAAAAGGGAUUACCCAAGCAAAAUCAUGG